rnacentral:rRNA from 1 species
UACAGAGGGUGCGAGCGUUUAAUCGGAAUUACUGGGCGUAAAGCGUGCGUAGACGGUUAUUUAAGUCGGGUGUGAAAGCCCCCGGGCUCAACCUGGGAAUUGCAUUCGAGACUGAAUAGCUAGGGUACGGUAGAGGGAAGCGGAAUUUCCGGUGUAGCGGUGAAAUGCGUAGAUAUCGGAAGGAACAUCAGUGGCGAAAGCGGCUUCCUGGACCAGUACCGACGUUCAUGCACGAAAGCGUGGGGAGCAAACAGGAUUAGAAUACCCUUGGUAGUUC